CGCUUGAAGAGUUUGGGUGCGCCUUGAGAGGCCAAUGGAUGUGCUCGGCGCUCGGAACGCGCCUGCCAUUCAGGAGCCUCCUCAUCCGGACUCCAUCGACUCGCUCGGCGCUCCUCCUCGAGUCCCUGGGCGCCUGGUUGAGGCGCUGGGCGCCCCUCCCCCCUCCCUGCCCGCCUGCCCCCUUUGACGGAAGGAUGCCCCGGGCGCGCGCUGUGUCCACUCGAGCCUCUCGGCGCUCGCCUCCCCGCGCCUGUCUCCUGGCAGAGGGACCGGAAGUGGCUCGGGGAGGGAAGGGGAGGGGGGCUCGCUCCCUCCUCCUCAGGUGAAGACGCUGUGGAUGGAGCCGCCGCCGAAGACGCCGCCGCUUCGGAGCCAUUGAGCCCCCUCCAGAGGCUGGGCCGGGCGGGGGGGCCCUCCCUCCCCAACGCGGCCUGGAGCCCCUUCGGCUCAGGUGAGGGCCGCCCCACGGGGGCUCGGAGGGGACAACAAGCGCUCGCCGGGCGCGCGGAGGGACCAAAAGGGUGUCCUAAAGAUGGAUAUAGAGGACUGCAAUGGACGCUCUUACAUAUCUGGAAUCUCUUCUUCCUGGAAGGUGAGUGGCUGAGUUCACCCUACUGCCGAGAUGCAGCCACACACACUCACAGUCUGUAUGCCAGCGCUGUUUCCAAGGAGUUGGCUGUGAUAACACUCCAGGGUAUCGUCAGCAAGGUAGAAUAAUGUAGUGGAGAUUCCUCUUUGGAAAAGGAGUUCACCUCCACCAUUGUGGGGCCAACAGUGAGCACACCAAACAGCCAACACUCCUCCCCAAGCCGCUCCCUUAGUGGUGAGUAUUUAAUCUUGGGAUUCCAAUAAUUCACCCUGAAAAUGCAUUAUACUACGUUUUGACUGGGC
rnacentral:lncRNA from 11 species